rfam:Oryza sativa (indica cultivar-group) chromosome 7, whole genome shotgun sequence.
AAUAUGUGCAGUUUUGCACUAUUCAUGUUAAACGUUUGACCAUUUAUCUUAUUUAAAUUUUUUUUAUUAAUAUUUUUAUUAUUAUUAGAUGAUAAAACAUGAAUAGUACUUUAGAUAUGACUAUUUUUUAAAAAAAAUUUAUACACUUUUUAAAUAAGACGGACGGUCAAACGUUGGAUACGGAUACCCACGGCUACACUUAUU